ensembl:snoRNA
UGGACAUCUGUGAUAACUGGUGCCCUGUGAGUCACACGUGAUGAGUAUUAUUGGCUUGGAACUCUGAGGGCCAG